GCAAUUACGUGGUUGGGGUGGUUUAAUGGUGCAAUUAUUUUGUUGAAGAUAAUUUUGGUUUGACUGGGGUUUGAUGCUGCUUGUGAUUUAUUUAAGGGGAACAAUUUGAUUUCGAUUUUAAACAAUUUCCAAGGGGGAAUAGGGGCAGUUGCAGGAGAGUUAGAGUGAGGGAGUGUGAAUACGUUGGGUUUGAAUUUUUCUACUAACUUGAGAGUGGGGAUGCAAGCAGGUAUGCUCCGAAUUUGCCAUGUGCCACUGAAAUUUUUCAUACAUUUGAUUGCUUUGAAUGCGGGGUUGUAGGGUUUGUUACUAAGUUUGAGGAAAUAGUUUGCUGCCAGCAUCUGCCAUCUUAUUUUGACCGGGGGAAUGUCUGAUUCGAUAUGGAGGAGGGCUUUAGGAGUCGAUUUGAGGCAGCCUAAAAUGAUGCGAAGAAGUUGGUUUUGGGUUUUUUCUAAGGUGUCAAUUCUGGAGUUUGGGAUGUUGAUGAGAGCAGAGGCUCCGUAGUCCAGUUUGCUGCGGAUUAGGGCUUUGUAGAUUCGUAGAAGGAGGGGCGUAGAUAAGAUGGUUUUCUUCGAUGUUAGUGCUUUUAGUAUGUUGCCGCGCCUUUGGAUACACGUGUUUACUUCGUUUACAUGCUGCUCCCAGGAAAGUUUAGAGUCGAAAAUCAGGCCUAGAAACUUGUACUGUUUAACUUCUUUGAUUUGGCUGCCCAUCAGCUUCAGUUUGAGAGUUGGUUGGGGAGAUCUUCGUCUGGAGAAGGUGAGGCUCGCACAUUUGCCUAUUGAAAAGACAAGUUUCCAUUCUCUCGCCCAGUCUUCGAUUUCGUAGAGGAACGGUUGCAGUAUACUUUCGGCUUCUGGUUUUGUUUUUGUGAUGGUGUGGAUCUCGAUGUCGUCCGCGAACAGUUCGGCUUGGCAGCUAGCGGGUGGUUGGGGGAAGUCGGACAUCAUAACAUUGAAAAGAAGAGGGCUUAAGACGCAUCCUUGUGGUACGCCUUUUAGGGUUGUUCUUUCUUCCGAAAAGGUGUUGCCUAUUUUGACUUGGAGUUUUCUGCCGUUGAGAAAGUGGUGCAGCCAUCGUAGCAUAGUGCCUGCGACGUGCAUCUUAGUUAAUUUGUAGGUUAUGCCAGUUAUCCAGGUACUAGGGUAUGCGUUCGCCAGGUCGAGGAAUACUGCUGUGCAGAUCUUCUGAUGGUUGAAUGCUGACUUGAUUGACGACUCCAGUUUGAUGAUAUUAUCCAUCGUUGAACAGUUCUUCCUAAAUCCAGUUUGGCACUUGGGAUGUGAGAGAGAUCGGCCUAUACGAAUCCGUUCUACUAGGGUCUUUUCCACUCUUGAGCAGAGGUACAACAGACGCUCUUUUCCAGACGUGGGGGACGUAGCCGGUGAAGAAUAGGAUGUUGAUGAGGUGAACAGUUUGAUAUUUCGACCGAGGAGAAGAAGUUGUUGAGAGGGUGGGGGGAGUCAUCUUGUAGGUGUCUAUUAAUCGCAGCGCUGUACAUUGGCUCUUCGGCUAACGGGUCUUCCAAGGGACAAAAUUCAUCGAGGAGCAGUUUGGCCUUGUCUUCGUGGGAGCAUGCUGUAAUUCCAUUUUGAGUGAGUGGAAAUUUGUUUAAAGGUGACUCUUGAUGACCUCUUAACAUGUUUUUAGUGAAGUUCCAGAAAACAGUUGUGUUUUUGGGUACGCCAAGAUUGUCAAUAAAGUUGGACCAGGAGUCAUUU